rnacentral:rRNA from 1 species
GGCUCAGGACGAACGCUGGCGGCGUGCCUAAUACAUGCAAGUCGAACGGUCUUUCUAUGGAAGCUUGCUUCCACUGAGAAGAUAGUGGCGAACGGGUGAGUAACACGUGGGUAACCUGCCCAUAAGAGGGGGAUAACAUCCGGAAACGGGUGCUAAUACCGCAUAGUUUUCUUGAUCGCAUGAUUGAGAAAGGAAAGACGGCCUUUGUGCUGUCGCUUAUGGAUGGACCCGCGGCGUAUUAGUUAGUUGGUGAGGUAACGGCUCACCAAGACGAUGAUACGUAGCCGACCUGAGAGGGUGAUCGGCCACAUUGGGACUGAGACACGGCCCAAACUCCUACGGGAGGCAGCAGUAGGGAAUCUUCCGCAAUGGACGAAAGUCUGACGGAGCAACGCCGCGUGAGUGAAAGAAGGUUUUCGGAUCGUAAAACUCUGUUGUCAGAGAAGAACAAGUUGGAGAGUAACUGCUCCAGCCUUGACGGUAUCUGACCAGAAAGCCACGGCUAACUACGUGCCAGCCGCGGC